rnacentral:lncRNA from 1 species
GACCAGGACACCGGACACAAUUUUUAAACUAGAUACCUCAAUGAUGAUUUUAGCCAAGUUUGGUUAAAUUUGACCCAGUAGUUUUAGAGGAGAAGAUUUUUGUAAAAGUUAACGACGACGGUCGACGGACGACGACGAACGACGGACGCCAAGUGAUGAGAAAAUUUCACUUGGCCUUUAAGGCCAGGUGAGCUAAAAAAAUAGUAUUCACAUAAAUCUCACGUAAACUUUACAUCAUCUUCACAAAUUAAAAAUAUGUAAAUAUCAUGAUGAAAAUAAUACUUGAGCGUUAUAUUUCAAUAACCUUGUCGUUCCUUCUGUUGGUCCGUUCGUCCAAUGAAUAUUAUCGUCACCUUUUUUUUAAAUGACAUCAUUACUAUUAUGUUUCAUUCUUUAUCACAUGACACACGCUGUUAUUUUGAAAACCCCAAUCACUUUUUAAAAAGUAGCAUAAUUAUUUAACUGUUUCUUGUGUACUAGAAUACUUUAGUUUAUUGUGGAAGAGUUAGAAAGGACUGGGAUACAACUCACAAACCAGUGUAAUCACAGUGAUUCGACACUUUCAAAGGGAGGUUUGUCAGAGAUAUUUAUAGUCAUUUAUUACACACUAUAGAAUAUGCGUUUUGCUCAUAGUAGAAAAUCGUAAGGUUACAUAUUGCUGCUUACUUUAAUCUCAUAUGGAGUCUAGUAAAAAAACUCUUAGCGACAUGAAUUUUAUAUUUUCUUUUUAUCUCAAUGAACUAGUAGUUCGAAAAAAAAUUGCAUUUCACUCAGUUCAUAGGACAAAAAAAAUCAUAAUAAAUUAUUGACCGAAAAUAUACAGUUUGAACAUUAAUUUAUUAUGCCCAAGUUAUCAUUUUCUUUAUAAAAUAAAUACACAAUGCUUUUUUAUUCAAAUUGUAAGCGUUGAACUAUUGGACCGGUCAAUCGUUUCCAACUAUUGGACCUGUAUGAAACUAUUUGACAACAGGUGUCAUUUUAUUUCGCGGAAUUUUCAAUGCAGGUACACAAUUGGAGGAUUUUGAAAAUACCGCGGGAGUAACGAUGUCGUGUUUUACCUAUUGUACCUAGGGUUAACGUCAGUGCAAGACGUAGCCUUAGCAUUUGAACACAUUUAUGAAGUUUACGUUAUGGUUGGGUUUCUGCUUUUUUAUAUUAUGAUAGUUGAUUUAUCACUGCCAUUUAUUGUCUGUUGUCUUUUUCGAUAUAAUAAAACCCUUACUGACUGGAUAUUCGUGGAAUGGUAAGUUUAUUGUCCCUCGAAUACAACUAUUGCCAUCGGCUACGCCUCAGGACAAUAGUUGCUCCUUGUGACAAUAAACUUACUAUCUACUCAUACCCAGUCAAUAAGUAUACAUUUUAUUUAUUUGUACCUCUUACUAUGAUAAAUAGUUGACAUGUCUUUUUGGGACAGUCCAUUAUUACAUGUACUUCACGACCAGAUUUGUUUUCAUUUUGUUGUCCAUGGAAAUUAUAAGAAAGAUUUCAUCGGAAAUAUAACAGAAAAUGUAAUAAUCAUUGACGAAGAACGGAAACAUUUUUCUUAAAAUUCCUGAAUAGGAUAUGUUAUUCAGGUCUAAAACAGGGAAUAUACUGUGACAUUCCCGGCUUAGAGUUUAUAUCCCCUGAGACGAAGGCGAAGGGGAUAUAAGCCCGAAGCCGGAAAUGUCACAGUAUAUACCCUGUCUGAGACCUGAAUUACACAUAUAUUCUGGUUUACCCCUGACCUGUUAUUUUCCAGUGUAGGUAUUUGUUGAACAUUCACAAUGCAACAUGUACAUGCAUUACAUGUUUAUUGUUUCUUUAAUAUUUUGAGUAAUCCAUUUAAAUGCACCUUUUAUAUCUUGAUAAAUUUUUUCCCGUUAAAAAAUAGUUUCAAUAAAGUUUUAAGAUAUCAUAUGUUGUGUUUGUAUGUGUGUGUGGCUUUGUUUUUUUACAACACAUAUAUUGAAAACCCCAACCUUAUAUGUUUGACAUACGUGAAGGGUUUUCAAAUAUGCUGUAAACAUAAUUUUAUCGAGUAUGUAAUAAUUUAUAAUCACACUUUUAACAUUUAAUUUAAGUAUUAAAAGUGUAAAUUAAGUGAUUGUGUAUUAAAAUGUACUAUUGACUGAAGCACGUCAAUAGUUCGCCUCUGUGAGGCUCUGACAUUCCUUAGUGUUCUGUACAGCUUUUGACUACGUUACAUAGUAACCGUUGUUAUGAUAACGUUUUUGAGGUUCCAAUUAGGGAUACAAAUGGUGUAUAUACCCCAGCAGUUUUCUAAAUAUAUACUGACAAUUAUGUGGUGUUAUCCAAUACCUCGACACAUUUGUAUUCCGUAAUAUACUUUAAUAAAUAUGUUAGAACAAAUAUACUAUAUAAUGCAAUUAAACUUUUCUGCUUAUUUUGAAAAUAUACCUACAUUAUAUAAGUCACUAAUAUUUCUGACAGACAACAACUUGAGAAGUUGGUAU